UCAGUCGUGUGCUCUUCCAUCUGCCAGGGGAAGGAAUCCAUGAGAAGUGAAAUUAAAUUUUGUGUCAACUGCGGCUCCUUGGCAGCGGGUGGUUCUUGUGACUACAAGAGGUCCUCUGUUUGUGGGGCCUCGUAAUGCCCCGGUGAUGGCUGUCCUGGGGUGCCUGGCAGAAUCAGCCCUCCACCUACCCUGGGACCUGCUGCAGGGC